rnacentral:lncRNA from 1 species
GGGUCUCAAACUACCUUAAACCCCAACUACAACACAUCCAACAUACAUUUACAAGUCACAUUGCUCAAAAACUCAUCAAAAACCCAUAAACUCAACAUAAGCUUACUCAUGCAUUUUCUACCCCAUGAACUUGCACAAAACUUGUUUAAAACAUAAUAUAAGUUAGAGAUCGACCCUUACCUCUUGAAGAUCGAGAGUAGAGGCGAUCUAACUUGGAGUUGGGAGAGAUUUAGCUCCUUGGGUCUCCAAGUGCAAAACUUGCUCAAAACUUGAAAAUCUUCAAAAGAAGGUAAAAACUUGUGAAAAUCUUGAAAGAUCUGAAGGAAAAGACUCAAGAUUGGUGAGGAACGGCGGAGAACUCACCUUGGCCGACAAUGGGGAGAAAAGCUCGCCCGUUUUCGGCUAAGGGACCCUUUUAUAGUGGCUGGCCAGGCCACGUUCGGGGGCCGAACGUGCCUCCGCAUGCAUGUCAUGUUCGACGGCCGAACUUGAGGUUUGGCGGCCGAACCUGGACUUCCCUCACUUAUGCCUUCGGAGGCCUAAGGCACACCCGAAAUGCCUGCAUGUUCGGCGGCCGAACCUGGGUUUUCCUCCAAGGUUGUUUUCAUGCAAAAACUCAUUUCCUUUUUACUUAAAAUCAUGAAAUACAUUAAAACAUUUUAAGAAAACAUGUUUCUACCCUACUAGAGGCUUCCGACAUCCGAGAUUCCACCGGACGGUAGGAAUUCCGAUACCGGAGUCUAGCCGGGUAUUACAUAUACCAGAUUGAAGACCUUCAUGGGAACCUAAAGCCUUACACUUGGAACAUCCAGCACUUGAAAAUGUACUUUCCCUAUAAAGCUCAUUUCCUUUUUACUUAAAAUCAUGAAAUACAUUAAAACAUUUUAAGAAAACAUGUUUCUACUCUACUAGAGACUUCCGACAUCCGAGAUUCCACCGGACGGUAGGAAUUCCGAUACCGGAGUCUAGCCGGGUAUUACAUAUACCAGAUUGAAGACCUUCAUGGGAACCUAAAGCCUUACACUUGGAACAUCCAGCACUUGAAAAUGUACUUUCCCUAUAAAGCAUACAAUGUAAACCCUUGUAAUUUGAAAUAUAAAUGAAAAAUGAUGCUCCUCUUCCUCCUAUUUUAGUAUCCCUAAAGCAAGUACAGAAGCCUUCCAUGAGCUGGGUGAUUGGUCUCGGAAAAUUACCGCCGGCACCACAAAAUCGGCUGAGAGGAAGAAGAACUCAGUGAGGUGAGUGAUCAGUCUCGAAAAAUGACUGUCGACAUCACAAAACCAGCUGAGAGGAAGAAGUCCUCAGUGAGGUGGGUGAUCGAUCUCAAAAAAUGACCGUUGGCACCAUAAAUCCGGAUGAGAGGAAGAAGAUGAACAUAGAAAUAACAAGUAACGGCCUUGAGCCCCAAGUAAUGGCCUUGAGCCCCUCAAAAGAAAAGCUAAGCAAGCAAACAACCGACCUAAAACUUAGCCCACAUAAGGCUCAACAAGUAAAUAAAAACUUGAGCCCAACCUCACAAAAGAGAAGCGCCCAGGUACAGGAAACAAAAAUCCAAAUACUAGCCUCACUCACAGGCUAAAAAUACGCGAAAAUAGCCUAAGUAUAAAAUAAUCGAACUCAUAGCACGGACGGGCUCACAAGCUAAAAACAUGCGAAAACACGUAGUGUUGGGUACCACUAGAUCCCCAUGGAUAGGUCGGAUAAAGAAAAGACAUCAUUCAUUACUGAAGAUGGGACGUACUAUUACAAAGCCAUGCCUUAACCCACAUAAGACUCAGCGAGUAAAUAAAAACUUGAGCCCAACCUCACAAAAGAGCUUGAAGCGUCCAAGUACGGGAAACAAAAAUCCAAAUAUUGGCCUCACUCACAGGUUAAAAACACAUGAAAAUAGCCUAAGUAUAAAAUAACGGAGCUCACAGGCUAAAAACACGCGAAAACACGCAAUGUCGGGUACCACCAGAUCCCCAUGGAUAUGUUGGAUGAAAAAAGCUUUACCUGUUUCUAUGGAGAGAAUUCAUCCGAUUUUCAUGUUUCUAUGUUACAGAAAUUCGUUAUCGAAUCCGAGUAAAGUUCUUAGUAAACUUAAUAUGUCAUAAAAUUUUAAAGGGAAUGCAAGUUGUUUUUCUUUUUUAAUGGUUUAUUAAGAUGCAUGCGAUAUUUUGGGGUUUAAGUUUUCAAGGUCAAUAAUGGAUGAAUUCUUAUUUUGUUGAUGCAUAUUGUGGUUAACAGGUCUUUGGAGUAGUUUAAGACUAUGUGGUAUUGUUGUAAUAUGGUUUUCGAUGAUAUGAUGUGCUUUGAUCUUGUUUUGAAGCCAUCUUUAGCUGACUAACUUGCUGCCAAAAGUCCUCCAUCCAACUAUUUUCAGCUUGUUCUCUACAUGCGAAAAUAUAUGCUUUUAAGGGUUUAUUGGACUAGUUUUAAGUCAAUCUGUAUAGGAUCGGACUUGGAUAUCUUAAUUAAACUAUUUUUAUGUUAUGUUUCUACUCACUAGACUAGCUUAUCCCUUUUCUCCUAAUCCUAGAUUUGCAAGAUCAAUUCGAAAGAACAAAAAUGUUCUAUUGGUAUAGCUUUUUAUAAUAUUAUAAUAUAAAUUUAUGUUAUCAAUUAUGAUAGCUUGUUAUGGAUUCCAACAACCUUAAAUCGAUCUAAACUGUAAUGCCAACAAUCUGAUAUGUGUACAACCAAUUAUUUUAAAUGUGCCAGGCAAGGAUUCCAAAUAAAAGAGGAAUUAUCAAACUAUCAACAUAAACUAGAUUUUGGAGGGUUAAUUUCACUCAUCAUCCCUUACUUUAGGUCUUGUAUCAAUAAUCUCUUAGCUUUAAUUCGUAUCAUGAACAUUAAUUUUAGUAUCAUUAAAGUUCAUGUGACUUGUUAUUAACGGUUUAGAAAUCGAUAUCUAAUUUCAAUUACCAUUCCUAAACUUAGAAAAAUAUAUCACAAUUGUCCUCCAAUAAAUAUAUAACAAAAUUUUUUAGUUUUCUAAUUAA